CCUACGCGUGGCAGCAGUGGGGAAUCUUGCGCAAUGGGCGAAAGCCUGCCGCAGCGACGCCGCGUGAGGGAUGCAGGUCUUCGGAUCGUAAACCUCUGUCAGCAGGGAAGAACGGUCACUGUGCUACUCCGCAGUGCAUUGACGGUACCUGCAAAGGCAGCACCGGCUAACUCCGGGCCAGCAGCCGCGGUAAUCCGGCGGGUGCGAGCGUUAAUCGGAAUUACUGGGCGUAAAGCGCUCGUAGGCGGUAUGUCAAGUCAAGGGUGAAAUCCCCGCGCUCAACGUGGGAACUGCCUUUGAAUGUGGCAAACUUGAGUGUGUGAGAGGAUAGUGGAAUUCCAGGU
rnacentral:rRNA from 1 species